AGGACGAACGCUGGCGGCGUGCCUAAUACAUGCAAGUCGAACGGCUUUUCUAUGGAAGCUUGCUUCCACUGAGAAGAUAGUGGCGAACGGGUGAGUAACACGUGGGGUAACCUGCCCAUAAGAGGGGGGAUAACAUCCGGAAACGGGUGCUAAUACCGCAUAGUUUUCUUGAUCGCAUGAUUGAGAAAGGAAAGACGGCCUUUGUGCUGUCGCUUAUGGAUGGACCCGCGGCGUAUUAGUUAGUUGGUGAGGUAACGGCUCACCAAGACGAUGAUACGUAGCCGACCUGAGAGGGUGAUCGGCCACAUUGGGACUGAGACACGGCCCAAACUCCUACGGGAGGCAGCAGUAGGGAAUCUUCCGCAAUGGACGAAAGUCUGACGGAGCAACGCCGCGUGAGUGAAGAAAAGGUUUUCGGAUCGUAAAACUCUGUUGUCAGAGAAGAACAAGUUGGAGAGUAACUGCUCCAGCCUUGACGGUAUCUGACCAGAAAGCCACGGCUAACUACGUGCCAGCCGCAGC
rnacentral:rRNA from 1 species